rnacentral:rRNA from 1 species
AUUGAACGCUGGCGGCAUGCCUUACACAUGCAAGUCGAACGGCAGCACGGGAGCAAUCCUGGUGGCGAGUGGCGAACGGGUGAGUAAUAUAUCGGAACGUGCCCAGUCGUGGGGAUAACGUAGAGAAAUUUACGCUAAUACCGCAUACGAUCUAAGGAUGAAAGCGGGGGGAUUCGCAAGAACCUCGCGCGAUUGGAGCGGCUGAUAUCAGAUUAGGUUGUUGGUGAGGUAAAAGCUCACCAAGCCGACGAUCUGUAGCUGGUUUGAGAGAACGACCAGCCACACUGGGACUGAGACACGGCCCAGACUCCUACGGGAGGCAGCAGUGGGGAAUUUUGGACAAUGGGCGAAAGCCUGAUCCAGCAAUGCCGCGUGCAGGAAGAAGGCC